rnacentral:rRNA from 1 species
UACGAAGGGUGCUAGCGUUGUUCGGAAUUACUGGGCGUAAAGGGCGCGUAGGCGGUUUGGCAAGUUGGAUGUGAAAGCCCAGGGCUCAACCCUGGAAUUGCAUUCAAGACUGCUUUACUUGAAUUCGGUAGAGGUUGGUGGAAUUCCCAGUGUAGAGGUGAAAUUCGUAGAGAUUGGGAAGAACACCCGUGGCGAAGGCGGCCAACUGGACCGACAUUGACGCUGAGGCGCGAAAGCGUGGGGAGCGAACAGG